rnacentral:rRNA from 1 species
GAUGAACGCUGGCGGCGUGCCUAAUACAUGCAAGUCGAGCGAGCGGCGGACGGGUGAGUAAUGUCUGGGAAACUGCCUGAUGGAGGGGGAUAACUACUGGAAACGGUAGCUAAUACCGCAUACCAUCAGAUGUGCCCAGAUGGGAUUAGCUAGUAGGUGGGGUAACGGCUCACCUAGGCGACGAUCCCUAGCUGGUCUGAGAGGAUGACCAGCAACACUGGAACUGAGACACGGUCCAGACGCCGACGGGAGGGAGCAGUGGGGAAUAGUGCACAAUGGGCGCGAGCCUGAUGCAGCCAUGCCGCGUGUAUGAAGAAGGCCUUCGGGUUGUGAAGUACUUUCAGCGGGGAGGCAUUACCCGCAGAAGAAGCACCGGCUAACACCGGGCCAGCAGCCGCGGUAAAAG